UACGAAGGGGGCUAGCGUUGCUCGGAAUCACUGGGCGUAAAGCGCACGUAGGCGGCUUGUUAAGUCGGGGGUGAAAUCCUGGAGCUCAACUCCAGAACUGCCCUCGAUACUGAUGAGCUCGAGUCCGGGAGAGGUGAGUGGAACUGCGAGUGUAGAGGUGAAAUUCGUAGAGAUCGGGAGGAACACCGGUGGCGAAGGCGGCAUCCUGGACCGGUAUUGACGCUGAGGCGCGAAAGCCAGGGGAGCAAACGGG
rnacentral:rRNA from 1 species